GGUGCGGGCGCUAUCAUGCAGUCGAGCGGAAGAAGGGAGCUUGGUCCCGUACGUUUCGGCGGACGCGUGAGUAACACGUGUGCAACCUGCGCCUUUUACUGGGAUAACUCCCGGGAACCGGAGCUCAUACCGGAUAAUCUCUUUUUCCACCUGGGGAGAGGGGGAGAGAUGGGUUCUGCUAUAUCUAUGGGAUGGGGCCGCGGCGCAUUAUCUAUUUGGUGAGGUGACGGCUUUUACCGGCGACAAUGCGUAUCCGACCUGUGAGGGGGAGCGGCCACACUGGGACUGAGACACGGCCCACACACCUACAGGAGGGGGCACUAUGGAAUCUUCUCCACUGGGCAAAAGUCUGACAGAGAACCGCCCCGUGUGUGAGGAAAGCCUUCUGGUCUCAAAGCUCUGUUGUGAGGGAAAAGACGGUACUGUUCUCAUAUGGCGGUACCUUGUCAGGGCCUCUCCCCAGAGCCACGGCUAACUACAUGUCACCGCCCGCGGUAAUACAUAGGUGGGAAGCGUUGUCCCGAAUUAUUGUGCGUAUAGCGCGCGCACGCGGCUUCUUAUAUCUGAUAUGAAAUCUCGCGGCUCUCCCCCGAGAGGGCAUUGUAAACUGUGGAGCUUGAGUGCGCAAGAGAAGAGAGUAAAACUCCGUGUAUCGCUGAGAUGCGUAUAGAUGUGUAGGAGCACCACUGUCGAGAGCGACUCUCUGUGCUGUGAAUGAGACUGAGACGCGAAAACGUGUGGAGCACACACGAUAAUAUACCCUGUGAGUCCACACCCUAUACGAUAAGAGCUAUGUGUGAGGGGUGUCUAUGCGCGUAGUGCGCAAAUAACACAUUAAACACUCUGCCCGGGGAGAACACGCGCAAGGUGAGACUCACAAGAGUUGACAGGGACACCCACAAACACUGGAGCACGUGGGUUUAAUCUCAACAACACGCAAAAAC
rnacentral:rRNA from 1 species